GCAAACUUGGUCAUUUAGAGGAAGUAAAAGUCGUAACAAGGUUUCCGUAGGUGAACCUGCGGAAGGAUCAUUAUUGAAUGUUACUUGAUAGGUUGUAGCUGGCUCUUUGAGCAUGUGCACACCUGUCUUGAUUCUAUUCAUCCACCUGUGCAUUCUUUGUAGUCUUUGAGGGCUGAGAGCAGCAGUUAACAAAUCAGUUGAAUAACUGGACAAGAGGAUUGUAAGCACAUCAGUGCAGCUUUCUUCAGUGAACAACAGCUUGUGAUCUCCCUUGGAGUCUAUGUUUUUUUAAUAAACCAUGUAGUCUGUUGAAGAAUGUGAUCAAUAGGCCUUUGUGUCUAUAGAACCUUAUACAACUUUCAGCAACGGAUCUCUUGGCUCUCGCAUCGAUGAAGAACGCAGC
rnacentral:misc_RNA from 1 species